GGUCCCUUUAAACGAAGUACAGAGAGACUUCAAAGGGUAAUGCGGUGGGAGACGUACAUCUUCCUCUACCUCGUUAUACCCUUUGAGUCUAUCUCAAAGGGUAUUUUUUUA
rfam:Bacillus wakoensis JCM 9140 DNA, contig:contig_1.